rnacentral:rRNA from 1 species
GUGAGGAAUAUUGGACAAUGGGCGCAAGCCUGAUCCAGCCAUGCCGCGUGCAGGAAGACGCAUCUAUGGUGUGUAAACUGCUUUUGUACGGGAAGAAACACUCCCUCGUGAGGGAGCUUGACGGUACCGUAAGAAUAAGGAUCGGCUAACUCCGUGCCAGCAGCCGCGGUAAUACGGAGGAUCCAAGCGUUAUCCGGAAUCAUUGGGUUUAAAGGGUCCGUAGGCGGUUUAAUAAGUCAGUGGUGAAAGCCCAUCGCUCAACGAUGGAACGGCCAUUGAUACUGUUAGACUUGAAUUACAAGGAAGUAACUAGAAGAUGUAGUGUAGCGGUGAAAUGCUUAGAUAUUACAUGGAAUACCAAUUGCGAAGGCAGGUUACUACUUGUGGAUUGACGCUGAUGGACGAAAGCGUGGGGAGCGAACAGGAUUAGAUACCCGGGUAGUCC